UUAAUAUCAGGGCAAAUCUGUUGAAAGACAGAGACGCAAAGCUAAAGGGCCUAAACAACCACUAUCAACUGGGCUGCAGUU
rfam:Eubacterium limosum KIST612, complete genome.